GUACUGAAUCGCGCGCCGUGUUAACCCUGCCCAGGGGAGCAAUAUAAGCAAGCGCAUAAAGUUGAUCUUUGUUGAUCUUUCUUCUUACCUGAGGAAAACCCGGAUCGAGACGAUCGAGUCUGACUGGCUCGCUUGGCUGGCCGGCUGUGCUAUUUAGGCGGUCCGUGGUGUUUUGAUGUUGAUAGUACGCGGGAUAUAUAUACAUAUAUAUAGGGAAGGGUAGGGGUAUGUGCGAGGACUUGGCUUUCUUGGAAAAAUAUCGUUAAAUAAGUGUGGACGGUGGAGGGCGCGUAUAUAUAUCUAUGUAUAUAUACAUCUAUACAUGCACGCACUCACAUCAAAAGAGCGAGAGUGAGACCCUGACCCCGACUUUCCGCAUAUACAUACAUCCUUUUCCGGUAAGGAUUUAAGAGGAAAUAAAAAGAAAGAACAUGGCACGACUCAGCCGCACCACACCUAAGGCCGUGGUGGAUACCAGAGGAGAAGAUUCCAACAUCGACGAUACGUACAACACCAAUACAAACACCAAGUCUAUGUACAGCUACAACUACACCGACGAAGACAAGUCCUGGGCGGAAGCCCGGACGCGCCGUGGGGCAACCUCUCGCUCCCUGAAGGCAGCCACCACAACCACCAGCUCUACAAACGCAAACGCAAACGCAGGCGCAGCAAGAAGCGGAAAACAGCAAAACGCCCCGGCCGACCCCCGAAGCCCAACCAAGGCUAAGACCAAACCCACACCCAAGACAGGUACAAGCACAGGCACAGGCAUAGGUUCUAAUACCAAAACCACCCCUGCCGUGGAGGAUGUCGUCGCAACGCACACUGAAACCCUUAUUAGCCCAGCACAACUUCCAAGAAGCACCCGUCACAGACAACGUCAACGCCAGCUGGGCCAUCGGCACGCGGAUGCCCUCCUCAUGCCGUUCUCAGCACCGACGCGGGCGGAGACGGUGAUUGGUAAGUAUGAUGGUUCGACGCCUGGGCGCGGAAUGGGAGAUGUGGAAAUUGCGCCGUUGCCGGAGCAGUUGG
rnacentral:sRNA from 2 species